rnacentral:lncRNA from 1 species
CAGAAUUUUGGGAUUAUUUCCUGUGGAGAGUGACAUUUUUCACCAUCUUUCGGGGUUGGGCACUUGACGGGAAAACGAAUCACACUUGCCACCCCGAAAAUCGCACCACACAUGUGCAAGUGUCUCAGCUUCAAAACGAGCUAUCAUACAUAUCCAAGUUUAUGAUAUGGCCUGAGCAACAGAAGAAAACGUUAACAUUACCGCAGCUAAAAACAAUUGAUAUUGGUAGAAAUUUAGAUGCCUCGCAUCUCUGUCAUAAUGCCUUGUGUGUUAAUGCUGAUCAUAUAAUUUUUGAGCCCCAUGAUUUAAAUAACCACCGUAAGGUCUGUGUAGCUUCACAAAUAUGCACCACUCAUGAACUGCAUGGCACAACAUAUCCUAACUACAUGCUGCAUCUUAAACUGUGGUUUGUUCUAUUUUUAAUUUUAAAAUUUAAGUCUCCCCGAGGUGACAACUGCACAUUUCAUUAUGCAUGAAUCAUUUACUCAAAUAAAAGUUUCUUAUCUUACACUGCUAAAAAAAAUGAAAAUGGGAUAAAAGCCCUC